AGGAAAACUACCAAUCAGCUAGAAAUAUUCUGUCCUGCAACCAAAUAUGGGAAAGAAGAACAGGACUUGCUGCAAAUGGUCUUGGAUGAAGUAAAAAAGGUCAGGGCAGUCCAGAUGUCAAGGGACAUCCUUUUUUAACAGGAGGCCAGAGGCAAGUAAUCAAGUUUACUUCAGUGGGCUUUGACCAGGACUGUAUUCACGAGAUUUUACUGUCUUUUCCUGGAUGAAUGAACUGGACUCCUGGAUAUGUGCAGGUUCUUUCUGUGACAGGGUUAGGAACUGCAAGCAGUAUGAUGUACAUCUUACAAGGAUGAAGGGAACAUAUUUGAUAAGAUGGGAACAAUAUCAGCUCAUGGACAUUAGUCGAAACCAGUUUGAGAACACUGUGGGUUUCACAAGUGGAUCUAAUGUUCAUUUUCUUACAUAUGAUGAAAAGAGGGCUGUGAAUUGGAAAUGGCUCUUGAAGUUAAAUGAGGCUGGAUAAAACACAUAAAUGAAGCAGAAGCUGCUCUGCAUGUGUUAGGACUCUAUCUCCAGAAGCACUGCUGAUCAGCC
ensembl:lncRNA